rnacentral:rRNA from 1 species
GACGAACGCUGGCGGCGUGCUUAACACAUGCAAGUCGAACGGAGUGGCGAACGGGUGCGUAACACGUGGGUGACCUGCCCUGCCCUUCGGGAUAAGCCUGGGAAACUGGGGCUAAUACCGGAUAGUGUGGGAUGUGCCCGCGGCCUAUCAGCUUGUUGGGGGGGUAAUGGCCUACCAAGGCGGGGACGGGUAGCCGGCCUGAGAGGGUGGACGGCCACAUUGGGACUGGGACACGGCCCAGAGGCCUACGGGGGGCAGCAGGGGGGAAUAUUGCACAAUGGGCGGAAGCCUGAUGCAGCGACUCCGCGUGGGGGAUGACGGUCUUCGGGUUGUAAACGCCUUUCACCAUCGACGCGGUAGAUGGAGAAGAAGCACCGGCUAAUUACGUGCCAGCAGCCGGGGUAAUC